rnacentral:rRNA from 1 species
AGAGUUUGAUCAUCGGCUCAGGACGAACGCUGGCGGCGUGCUUCAUACAUGCAAGUCGAACGAGAAGUUACCUUCGGGUAAUAGACAGUGGCGGACGGGUGAGUAAUGUGUAGAGAAUCUGCCCUAGAGUGGGGGACAACAGUUGGAAACGACUGCUAAUACCGCAUAUGCGCGUAGCUGAGAAGCUAUUCGUGAAAACUCCGGUGCUCUGGGAUGAGUCUGCAUCUGAUUAGCUAGUUGGGGGUGUAAUGGACCACCAAGGCGACGAUCAGUAGCUGGUUUGAGAGGAUGAUCAGCCACAAUGGGACUGAGACACGGCCCAUACUCC